AAGACCUGUUUGUAUGCGGUAGUAUAGUCGGCCGUCGAUCGCGUUCGUAUGCAUAUUCGAAUUACUUCUAUGCGUGCAGUGUACAACGCUCAAAACUAGUUCGGGAACGAGGAAGUGCAGGAUACGACAACGAGGAAGUAUACAAUUCGAGUCAAUCGAUUUGGACGGUAAUUGAAACGGAAUGCACGCAGUUCUUGUUGCAAUACAACAUGCCGGCAAGACCGCCAAAGACGAUAAGAAUAUAUAAUAAUACGUAUUUAUUAAUAUGUCAUUUACAGACGCACCUUACCCAGACAGUAUUACCAUGGCAAGGCGACUUUUCGAGCGUAAACGUUGUGACUUGGGAACACGGGAAUCGGAAAAUAACGAACACCGAAGAAACGAGUUUCCACAUUGUUGUAUCACAAUAUUAUACAAUAAUAAUAGAUUACAAAAUGUCCACGCUAAACGUCCGACUUUCGAGUGCGCCGUAUAAUUAUUAUACUGAUAUACAAUAUAAUGAUGCAGUGCAAACAGAGUGUUAUAAUAUUUUCACCUGAUGUCAUUUUUAUAUUUUUAUUAAUCAAGAUACUCGUACUUGUGCGUACGGUGUAUAAUAUAUAGAUACUGAUGCUGACUGAUGCUGUAGCUUCGUCCAGUUUUUCCGGAGGAGUGAUCCGGCUAUAGCUGAAGUUUACAACACAAGCAACUAUAGUAGUUCUUAACGGCAAAUUGGGCUGAAUGCAAGCACUGCAAACGGAUCGUGUGCGAAAUCCAAAAACCAACUACAAGUCAUAACGUCUCAAUGCUAAUAGCGUAUCAUCCGCGACUGCUUUCGAAGUAUGAUUCUUCGAAAAUCAUGUUUAUUUAUUAGAAAAAACUCGAUUACGAUAUUGGAUCUUUUUGGUUAUCUUAAUUUCGAUAUAAUAAUAAUUUAAAACAUAUUAAAAUGAACGUUUUUAUAGUGACA